rnacentral:misc_RNA from 1 species
AAGUCGUAACAAGGUCUCCGUAGGUGAACCUGCGGAGGGAUCAUUAACACGUUUUAAAACACGUUUUAUACCAACCAACCACGUGAACUAUUUAACACUCCUGGAAGAGAGAGAAUUCUGUUUCCUCACACUAAUGAUGAGUUCUCGCAAGGGAACGGUGUGUUUAGACUAGCAUUGCAGUUGUAAAAGGCUGACAGUGUAAAGACCUUUCUUUUCUGGGCUAAAUGCCUCUCUCAUCACUGGGGCGAAAACAACCACUUUCACCAUUUCUAUAACCAUUGACUGAUCUUCUUUUUCUACUAGUGGCAACACUCGUAUGAACUGGAAACUAUAAUCAAAUAUCUAAGCACAACUCUUAGCAACGGAUAUCUUGGUUCUC